CAGCCGCCGCGGUAAAACCAGCACCUCAAGUGGUCAGGAUGAUUAUUGGGCCUAAAGCAUCCGUAGCCGGCUUUGUUAGUUUUCGGUUAAAUCUGUACGCUUAACGUACAGGCUGCCGGGAAUACUGCAGAGCUAGGGAGUGGGAGAGGUAGACGGUACUCGGUAGGAAGGGGUAAAAUCCUCUGAUCUAUUGAUGACCACCUGUGGCGAAGGCGGUCUACCAGAACACGUCCGACGGUGAGGGAUGAAAGCUGGGGGAGCAAACCGGAUUAGAUACCCGGGUAGUCCCAGCUGUAAACUAUGCAAACUCAGUGAUGCAUUGGCUUGUGGCCAAUGCAGUGCUGCAGGGAAGCCGUUAAGUUUGCCGCCUGGGAAGUACGUACGCAAGUAUGAAACUUAAAGGAAUUGGCGGGGGCGCAC
rnacentral:rRNA from 2 species